CAGUCGCCACGGUAACACGGAGGGUGCAAGCGUUACUCGGAAUUACUGGGCGUAAAGCGUGCGUAGGUGGUGGUUUAAGUCCGUUGUGAAAGCCCUGGGCUCAACCUGGGAAUUGCAGUGGAUACUGGGUCACUAGAGUGUGGUAGAGGAUAGUGGAAUUUCCGGUGUAGCAGUGAAAUGCGUAGAGAUCGGAAGGAACAUCUGUGGCGAAGGCGACUAUCUGGGCCAACACUGACACUGAGGCACGAAAGCGUGGGGAGCAAACAGGAUUAGAUACCCGAGUAGUCCCUGUCUCUUAUAA
rnacentral:rRNA from 1 species